UACGUAGGGGGCAAGCGUUGUCCGGAAUCAUUGGGCGUAAAGAGCGUGUAGGCGGUCCGGUAAGUCGGCUGUGAAAGUCCAGGGCUCAACCCUGGGAUGCCGGUCGAUACUGCCGGACUAGAGUUCGGAAGAGGCGAGUGGAAUUCCCGGUGUAGCGGUGAAAUGCGCAGAUAUCAGGAGGAACACCAGUGGCGAAGGCGGCUCACUGGCCCGGUACUGACGCUGGAGGCGACGAAAGCGUGGGGAGCAAACAGG
rnacentral:rRNA from 1 species